rnacentral:siRNA from 1 species
UUAUUCGAGAGGUGCCAUCUGG